rfam:Helianthus annuus linkage group 8, whole genome shotgun sequence.
ACAUGCCUGGCUCCCUGUAUGCCAUUUGCGGAACCCAUCGAUUGGUGUGAUGGUCUCCGCAGAUGGCGUAUGUGGAGUCGUGCAUAU